GCAGGGGUGGCAGAGUCUGGUCAAACCCGCUUGUUUUUCACGGUCGAAACCAGGAGGGAACUUGAUGCGCAGGACUCAGAAUCCUGUGGCCUAGCGCCUGCGAGGGUUCAAAUCCCUUCUCCUGCA
rnacentral:tRNA from 1 species